rnacentral:lncRNA from 1 species
UUUGUAGCAGCAGUCCUUCUUACUAUAAGCAGAGUGACUCUAAAUCUUUACUAGAAAAUUGGUUUGAAAAAGAUAAUAUAACAACUACUUCAUAAAUAUCAGAAACAGAGUAUCUCUCACUUUUUGGACACAUAACUGGUCUCAUUUUUAUCACAUUUGGUCUAGUCUGAAUAUUUAAUUAUAUUCAUGCGUAGAAUAAGAUAACUUUCGUCUAUAUAAAAGUAGAAAAGAGAGCAUCUCUAUAAGUGUUUUACUAUAUUUGCGACAGGUGAUUUGGUGAUCUGCCCUGAAGGUACGACUUGUAGAGAACCGUAUCUGCUGCGAUUCAGUGCUCUAUUUGCAGAGCUAAGCGACCGGAUCGUACCUGUGGCCAUGAACUGUAAGCAAGGGAUGUUCAAUGGAACGACAGUCAGAGGUGUAAAAUUCUGGGAUCCUUACUUCUUCUUCAUGAACCCAAGACCUAGCUACGAGGCCACUUUCUUGGACCGUUUGCCUGAAGAAAUGACGGUAAACGGCGGCGGUAAAACUCCAAUCGAGGUGGCUAAUUACGUUCAGAAGGUGAUUGGUGGAGUAUUGGGGUUCGAGUGCACUGAACUUACAAGGAAAGAUAAGUAUCUUUUGCUUGGAGGCAACGACGGUAAGGUUGAGUCUAUCAAGAAGACAAAGGAGUGAUAAAUCCAGCUAGUUACGGCUUUCUACUUUUUAAUGGAUUGUUGGAGGAAAAACUUUCGUUGAACAUGCAUUGGAUAAUGAAUUACAUUUAAUGAUUUUAGUAUUUUCCCCUCAUCUUUUUGAAUGAUAUAUUAAUUAGUAGCAUACUCUAAAAUAUAUUCCCUUUCAAAUAUGAAAGAAAAACAAACAAAGUCCGGUAAAGAUUGUGGCUCAGUCGUUUCCCAUUGUAGUUUGUUUAUGAUCAUUUUUUUUCUUGAUGAAUUUGGAAUGUGGAUACUACUUUUAGCAAAAAAAAAUUGGAUAAUAUUAAUAUACAAGUGACUGGCCAUAUAGUAUAUGGUAACUUUUCCCAUGUAAUGUUAAAAACUGAUCUCUAAUUGGACGCCAAAAAAAAGUUUUUUAAAAGUUGCUCCAAAUAUGCAUGCAUGCAAACCUUAUAAAACCAAUAUUCAGAGCCUUGUUUUUGUUUGUUAUGAAAUGAAGAAACGAGACUCUCGUUACGAGAGAGCUAGUUGGAAAGAUUAUAGAGAAUACAAUACAUUCAUAUAUGAAAUAAAAUUUCAAGUUUACAGAAACAAAACAAAGCCAGAAAGUUACUAUUGAAAAAAAAAAAAAAGUUACUAUUGAAGUGUAUAUGCUUACAGUUUCAUGUUGAACAAAUUUAAAACCAUUAAUCGUAUUUCUGUCCAACAUGUUUUUUUUUCUUCUUUGGAAUAAAAAAUGUGUUUAUAAAUCAGAGACGUUGUCGGCUCUAAGCCAACGUAACUUCCAUUGCUUACCAUCAUCCAUCAAACGGCGACGCCGUCACAUUUGCCGUCGAUGACACCGUCACCCUUCGCCACCACUAGACUCUUUAUGGUUCCUUCGAGAUCCCUCUUAUGCAGAUUAACCAGAAGCCCGUUCUUCAUAAAAAGAGUCAAAGACAUCUUCUGCUCCACUCUGUGUCCCGGAACCACCGUGAUCCGGUGACGUAGAAGCACCGCGGCCGCGAUGCUCUUCAUCUGAAGAUAGGCAAGAUCUUUUCCGAGGCAGAUCCUUGGUCCUGCAUUGAAUGCCACGAAUCUAUACUGGUCGUGGUUUAUGAAUUUGCCGUCGAUGGGGGAGAUCCAUCUCUCCGGGAUAAACUCGAGACAAUCUUCUCCCCAAGUCGACUUCAUCCUCCCCGCCGCGUAUAUCGAGUAACUCACCGAAGAUCCCGCCGGCACGAAAGUCCCGUCAGGUAAAACGUCGUCGUUCUCCACGUGCUUCGAUCACCACUUUUCAUUAUAUUUACAUACUAAUGCAAACCUAUGUAGUAAAAUUAAUCACAUAUUGAAUUAUGACUUAUAAAAUGUAAUCGUAUAACAAAAAGAUGGAUGGUUUAAGCCAAAGACUUUGUUACGACUCUUGUAAUGGGGAAUUUAUAUAUUUAAGUGAGAAUGAUGACAAAGUGAGAAAGAAUCAGGUUAUAAUUGUUAGAAAUGAUAGUUUAAGGAUAAAUUUGUAAAGAAGUCAUAUUGGAUAAGGAGUGACAAUAUUAUAAAUCGGUAAGGAAUGCAGCGCAUUUAAAACAAGAAAGACCCCUUCCCUCUCUUUCUUUCCAAGAUUCUCUCUCUCUGUUUACCAUCAAAGAGAGAUCGAAAAAUGUCUCCGGCAAAGAAGAAGAGCAGAAGCUUUCCUCCGAUAAGCGAGUGUAAACGUGGAGAGUAUGAUUCGAUCGCCGCAGAUCUCGACGGGACUAUGCUCCUCUCGAGAAGCUCCUUCCCUUAUUUCAUGCUCGUCGCCAUAGAAGCAGGCAGUCUCUUCCGUGGAUUGAUCCUCCUUCUAUCUCUCCCGAUCGUCAUCAUCGCUUACCUCUUCGUCUCCGAAGCUCUCGGCAUCCAAAUCCUCAUCUACAUCUCCUUCGCCGGCAUCAAAAUCCGCGACAUCGAACUCGUCUCUCGCGCCGUUCUUCCACGGUUCUACGCGGCGGAUGUGAGGAAGGACAGUUUCGAGGUGUUUGAUAAAUGCAAGAGGAAAGUGGUGGUCACUGCGAACCCCAUAGUGAUGGUUGAGCCUUUCGUGAAGGAUUACUUGGGAGGAGACAAAGUUUUAGGAACAGAGAUCGAAGUGAAUCCUAAAACAAUGAAAGCCACUGGGUUUGUGAAGAAGCCUGGUGUUCUUGUUGGCGAUUUGAAAAGAUUAGCCAUCUUAAAGGAGUUUGGAGACGAAUCACCGGAUCUUGGCCUUGGUGACCGCACCUCCGAUCACGACUUCAUGUCCAUUUGCAAGGUGCGUAUUAUCUCCUUUUCCAAGCUUAUUUUACGUUUCUUGAAUCGUUUAAACACCCGAUUUAGGUGGCCUAGUUAAUUAAGUUGAGUGUCUGAUACUUCAAAAACCUUUCGUAAUCAAAGAAUUUAAGUACUUUAAAUGAAUGCAGUAGGACCUAUAUUAAUGCCGCGUUAAGGGUUCACAUGAUCUAGCUAGUGGGAUAGAUUAUACAAUAAUUUGUCCAUCCACCCCCUUUUUUAACAUUUUAACAGCCUUCACAUGAUCCAUUUACGUCCAGAUGAUUUAUUUACUUUGUAUGUGUAUGUCUGCAUGGAAACAAUUAGAUUAAGUAUUCUUCUAAUGUUUUUGAAAAACUGAUUUAGCAUACAAAAAAAACUUGUAAUCAUACGUAUAUGUGAAUUCAAUAAAUGAAUGUAAUAAAAUUCAACUUACAAAAAGUAGGUAGAUAGAAUAUGAUAGAAGUAGUAGUUUUCAUAAAUGCUUUAAACCUAUCACCAACUACCAUCCCCACGUAAGUUGGAUGGUCCAUUUAAUGACCGAUCCCAUAUGUCAACAUUUUUUUUCUUUUUUUUCUCAUAUACCCUGAAACUUUCAGUAUUUUACCAUAUUUCUUACUAUAAUAGUGAAACUUUUGAAUCUUUUAAAUGAUUGGUAACGAGUUGCUUAUUUUAACUGCAACAGGAAGGUUACAUGGUGCAUGAGACCAAAUCAGCCACAACAGUCCCCAUAGAGCGUCUCAAGAACCGCAUAAUCUUCCACGACGGCCGUCUAGUCCAACGUCCGACGCCUUUAAACGCCUUAAUCAUUUACCUUUGGCUUCCUUUCGGCUUCAUGCUUUCCAUCUUCCGCGUCUACUUCAACCUUCCUCUACCUGAACGCUUCGUUCGUUACACUUACGAGAUCCUCGGUAUUCACCUCACUAUCCGCGGCCACCGUCCCCCUCCUCCUUCCCCCGGCACUCCCGGAAACCUCUACGUCCUUAACCACCGUACCGCUCUUGACCCCAUCAUCAUCGCCAUUGCUCUCGGCCGUAAGAUCUCAUGCGUCACUUAUAGUGUCUCUCGCCUCUCCCGGAUGCUCUCACCCAUCCCUGCCGUCGCUCUCACCCGAGACCGUGCCGCCGAUGCUGCCCGCAUGAGAAAACUCCUAGAGAAAGGUAUUUGUAGCAGCAGUCCUUCUUACUAUAAGCAGAGUGACUCUAAAUCUUUACUAGAAAAUUGGUUUGAAAAAGAUAAUAUAACAACUACUUCAUAAAUAUCAGAAACAGAGUAUCUCUCACUUUUUGGACACAUAACUGGUCUCAUUUUUAUCACAUUUGGUCUAGUCUGAAUAUUUAAUCAUAUUCAUGCGUAGAAUAAGAUAACUUUCGUCUAUAUAAAAGUAGAAAAGAGAGCAUCUCUAUAAGUGUUUUACUAUAUUUGCGACAGGUGAUUUGGUGAUCUGCCCUGAAGGUACGACUUGUAGAGAACCGUAUCUGCUGCGAUUCAGUGCUCUAUUUGCAGAGCUAAGCGACCGGAUCGUACCUGUGGCCAUGAACUGUAAGCAAGGGAUGUUCAAUGGAACGACAGUCAGAGGUGUAAAAUUCUGGGAUCCUUACUUCUUCUUCAUGAACCCAAGACCUAGCUACGAGGCCACUUUCUUGGACCGUUUGCCUGAAGAAAUGACGGUAAACGGCGGCGGUAAAACUCCAAUCGAGGUGGCUAAUUACGUUCAGAAGGUGAUUGGUGGAGUAUUGGGGUUCGAGUGCACUGAACUUACAAGGAAAGAU